GCAACCCUGAUCCAGCGACGCCGCGUGUGUGAAGAAGGCCUGCGGGUUGUAAAGCACUUUUAGUGGGGAUGAAAAGCACAUUGCUAAUACCAGUGUGUCUUGACCUAACCCAAAGAAAAAG
rnacentral:rRNA from 1 species